rnacentral:rRNA from 1 species
GACGAACGCUGGCGGCGUGCUUAACACAUGCAAGUCGAACGGGAUGAUUUAGAAGCUUGCUUUUAGAGAAUCUAGUGGCAAACGGGGGAGUAACACGUAGACAACCUGCCGACAGGAUGGGGACAACAUUCCGAAAGGAAUGCUAAUACCGAAUGAAGUCAGAGGAGGGCAUCCUCCUCUGAUGAAAGAUGGCCGCUGAAUAUGCUAUCACCUGUUGAUGGGUCUGCGUCUGAUUAGCUAGUUGGUGAGGUAACGGCUCACCAAGGCGACGAUCAGUAGCCGGUCUGAUAGGCUGCACGGCCACAUUGGGCCUGAGACACGGCCCAGACUCCUCCGGGAGGCAGCCGUGGGGAAUCUUCCGCAAUGGCCGCAAGCCUGACGGAGCAACGCCGCGUGAGUGCCGAAGGUCUUCGGAUCGUAAAGCUCUGUUGACGGGGACGAACGUGCGGGGUGCGAAUAGCGCUUUGUAAUGACGGUACCUGUCGAGGAAGCCACGGCUAACUACGUG